GCCUGGCUGGCUCAGUUGGUAGAGCAUGAGACUUUUAAUCUCAGGAUUGUGGGUUUCAGCCCCGCGGGCU
rnacentral:tRNA from 1 species